GCCAGACUCCUACGGGAGGCAGCAGUGGGGAAUAUUGCACAAUGGGGGAAACCCUGAUGCAGCGACGCCGCGUGAGUGAAGAAGUAUUUCGGUAUGUAAAGCUCUAUCAGCAGGGAAGAAAAUGACGGUACCUGAUUAAGAAGCCCCGGCUAACUACGUGCCAGCAGCCGCGGUAAUACGUAGGGGGCAAGCGUUAUCCGGAUUUACUGGGUGUAAAGGGAGCGUAGACGGUGAUGCAAGUCAGAAGUGAAAGCCCGGGGCUCAACUCCGGGACUGCUUUUGAAACUGUGUGACUGGAGUGCAGGAGAGGUAAGCGGAAUUCCUAGUGUAGCGGUGAAAUGCGUAGAUAUUAGGAGGAACACCAGUGGCGAAGGCGGCUUACUGGACUGUAACUGACGUUGAGGCUCGAAAGCGUGGGGAGCAAACAGGAUUAGAUACCCGAGUA
rnacentral:rRNA from 1 species